rnacentral:rRNA from 1 species
CGUCAGUAGAGUUGAUCUCGGCUCAGGCAAGCUGGCGGCGUGCUUACACAUGCAAGUCGAACGAUGAUGCCCAGCUUGCUGGGUGGAUUAGUGGCGAACGGGUGAGUAACACGUGAGUAACCUGCCCCUGACUCUGGGAUAAGCGUUGGAAACGACGUCUAAUACUGGAUAUGAUCACUGGCCGCAUGGUCUGGUGGUGGAAAGAUUUUUUGGUUGGGGAUGGACUCGCGGCCUAUCAGCUUGUUGGUGAGGUAAUGGCUCACCAAGGCGACGACGGGUAGCCGGCCUGAGAGGGUGACCGGCCACACUGGGACUGAGACGCGGCCCAGACUCCUACGGGAGGCAGCAGUGGGGAAUAUUGCACAAUGGGCGAAAGCCUGAUGCAGCAACGCCGCGUGAGGGAUGACGGCCUUCGGGUUGUAAACCUCUUUUAGUAGGGAAGAAGCGAAAGUGACGGUACCUGCAGAAAAAGCACCGGCUAACUACGUG